rnacentral:lncRNA from 1 species
UUUCCUAAUUAAUAUUUUUACGAAUUUAAAUCAAUUUAUGAUACUUAUUUAUAUAAUAUUUAAAAUGGUAACUUGGCUCAUCUUUUCCAUAUAUCUUAUAUCUUGGUGCCAUAGUACCAGCAAAGAUCCUGUAAUAUUUUGAUCUGAUUUCUUUUUUUCUCCGAAUUUUCAUUUAAUUGAGGUACAUCGAGAUCUUGGAUCAUCUUGAUAUCUACCCCUGA